CGAACGGGUGAGUAACGCGUGAGCAACCUGCCUAUGACAGUGGGAUAGCCUCGGGAAACCGGGAUUAAUACCGCAUAAAAUCGUAGAAACACAUGUUUUAACGGUCAAAGAUUUAUCGGUCAUAGAUGGGCUCGCGUCUGAUUAGCUAGUUGGUGAGAUAACAGCCCACCAAGGCGACGAUCAGUAGCCGGUCUGAGAGGAUGAACGGCCACAUUGGAACUGAGACACGGUUCAA
rnacentral:rRNA from 1 species